rnacentral:rRNA from 1 species
UAGGGAAUCUUCGGCAAUGGACGAAAGUCUGACCGAGCAACGCCGCGUGAGUGAAGAAGGUUUUCGGAUCGUAAACUCUGUUGGUAGAGAAGAACGUUGGUGAGAGUGGAAAGCUCAUCAAGUGACGGUAACUACCCAGAAAGGGACGGCUAACUACGUACCAG